rnacentral:lncRNA from 1 species
AAAGCGCAUACACUAUACGAUACAAUAUGAGAAAUAUCUAAGCGACACAUUGCGAAACAAACAUUUUGCGCAAGAACAAAAUUUGGCGGAAGAAAAAAAUAAUAAUAAUUAAAAACCAAUUGUUCAGAGAACAAUUGAAAGUCUUUCCACAACAAAGAAAUUUGGAUCAGAAGGUAGUUUCUUCAUACUGAUGAUAUAAAUAAUGGUUUAAUUAUCUUUUUGAGUGAUGUAAGGGAGAUAAUAUGCUACUUCCGGUCUCAUAUGAUAGCUUCUUUCACACUGAUUCCAAAAAUAUAUAGUUUCUAUGUACUUUUGCAUGUAGAAUGGGAGAUAAUUGGUUACUUCCGGUUUGUUGGAAGUCAUUUUUAUUCUUCAGUAAUCAGUUAAUGUAUCUGUAUGACAAAAUAUAUGGAUUCUGAGUACUUGUAUGUGAAAAAACUGCAAAAAAAGCUACUUCCGGUUUUCUCAAGGUCACUUCCGCUAACCAUUUUUCAAGGUCAUUUGUCACUUAACCUUUUGUAUAAGGUCAAAUGUCUUUGUAAUGAACUUACUUGAAGAUAUAAUCAAAUAACCUCAUAUCAAGACAUUUCAGGGGCAACAACUCCUAUAAGAUGCCUAUAAGAGCAUAUAUCUUCAUUACAAUUAAGCAGACAUUUUUGCACAUUUUGAUUCUUUUUUAUGUAUCUCUCAAAGUGAGUGAGAAGAAUGCAAAAGGCAAGCAAAAGUCACAAUUAAGAAUUUGACCUUGACCUUUGACCUUGACCUCAUUUUCUAAGUUAAGACCUAAGGGACUCAAAUAAAAGCAUUCCAGGGUUAUACGAUUAAUUGUUUAUGAGUUAAAUAAACAUACCGACAAAUUUAUUUUGUAAAGGUAGAUAACUCCUAUAAAAUUUCAUCGAAUCGCUUCGAUCAAAAUACGCCAAAACUUUCUGAGGAUGUAACGAACAAUGUGUAAAAGAAAUUUUGUCGAUAUCUUUUUUUGUUACAGAGGAGAUGCACUCUGAUUAUAAACAGUGAAUAGGGAGAUAACUCUUACAAAGAAAAUGGUUCGGCUUAGCAGGGUGAAAUUUAAAAGCGCAUAAACUAUACGAUACCAAUAUGAGAAAUAUCUAAGCGACAUAUUUGCGAAACAAACAUUUAUCGCAAGAACAAAAGUUGCGGAAAAAAAAAAAUAAAUAAUAAUAAUAAUAAUAAUAAUAAUAAUAAUCAGAACAAAUACAAUAAGUCUUUCCACAGAAAAGUGGAAAGACUUAAUAAUUAAAAACCAAUUGUUCAGAGAACAAUUGAAGGUCUUUCCAUUGAAAAAAAAUGUAUUUUAAUAUGAAAGUUGUAAAAUUAAGUUUAAAACGUCAUUUCAAUCGUCAACUGAUAGGUUAUUGUACGCUGAUUCCAGAAAUAUAUGGUUUCUAUACAAUAUUUUUUUAAUAAGGGAGAUAAUUUGCAUUUGUUACUUCCGGUUUGGAAUAUUAAUGAUUUACACUUGAAUAUUAAAUUGACACUGAAUGAUCUGGUUCUAUAUACUUUUUUAUUAAUAAAGUACAAAAAAUAGCUACUUCCGGUUUACACAAGGUCACUUCCGGUUGUUUUUUUCAAGGUUAAAUGGUUUGAUACCUUUUGCCAAAAGUCUCAUGGCUAUAUCAUGUAUACAUAUGAGCUGAAAGCAAAGGUCAAAAACUAGAACGUCAAAUUAAUCUAUGACCUUGAGAUCAAUUUCAAGGUCAUAAACCAAGGACCUCAAAUCAAAAGACCAUAGGUCUUAAUAAUAUUUGGUUAAUCAGUUAUAUCACCAAACGCGUAUUUUUAAAUACAAGAGGGGAGAAAACUCACUUUUACGUUUAACGUACUCUUGCAAUCAAAAUUUAUGUGUUACGACAUGUCGCAAAUAACAAUUUAGAAAAAAUAAUAUGUCGAUAUCUUAUACGGUUUCUGGAAAUUAGUGGAAAUAAGCCAAAUUCAAAAAUUAGAAUAUGACCUUGACCUUUGACCUUGACCUAAUUUUUAGUUUUUUGGACCAAGGACCUCAAAUCAAAAGAUCCUUGGUCUCUAGCACUUAUGGUUUUCAAGAUAGAAAUGCAUAUCACUUAUAUCAAAUGCAUAAGGGGAAAUAACUCUCAUAUGGAGCGUUCAUAUCACUUCGGUCAAAAUAGGACAAAUCAUGCGAAGGAUAUAACGAGCAAUUUUGUAAAAUAAAUUUGUCAUAAUAUUUUACGGUUGCGAAGGAGAUGCGCUAACAAGGAAAACAGUGUUUGGGGAGAUAACUCCUACAAAGAAAAGUAUUCGUUUACGCAGGGUAAAUUUCAAAAGCGCAUAAACUGUUCGAUAUCAUAUACCAAAUAUCUAAGCGACAUAUUGCGAAACAAAUGUUUAUCGCAAGAAAAAAAUUAGGCGGAAGAAAAAAAAAAAAAAAAAAAAUCAGAAGAGAAAACAAUAGGUCUUUCACAGAAAAGUGGAAAGAUAAUAAUCAGAACAAAUACAAUAGGCUUUCCACAGAAGUGGAAAGACCUAAAUAAAAUAAUAUUAAAAACCAAUUGUUCAGAGAACAAUUGAAAGUCUUUCCACACCAAAGAAAUUAUGAUAAGAAGAUAGUUUCUUCAUACUGAUGCGAUUAAUAAUGGUUUAAUUAUAUUUUUGAGUGAUAUAAGGGAAAUAAUAUGCUACUUCCGGUGAAAUUAAUGUCACUUCCGGUCUCAUAUGAUAGCUUCUUUCACACUGAUUCCAAAAAUAUAUAGUUUCUAUAUACUUUUGUAUGUAUAAUGGGAG